UUUUUUUUGCCUUUUGACGGUUUGGGUGGACGUGGGUGGACUUCUCUUCUCUCUAACGAUAGAAGGGAGGUCGAACCAUAGCUAGGUUGAACCAUCACGACGUUCGAUCCUGCUUUAAUAGUAGAGAUUACAUUGUUUUGUCUUUGGAUAUGUUUUGUCUGGUUUGCACUUGUUCUGCAUGGUACAUUGUAUGUUGUGUUCUAUACCUAUUCUGAUGUGAAACUAUAUUUUUGCAGAAUCGCGCCAGAAAUCCAACAGGGCUACCAUCCUCUCUGCCCUCAGGCAAACUGGGCUGCGCCUGAUGCACCAGCAACACAACAGCAUGUUUACAUGCAGCCUGGAGCUUAUCCUGGCGCACCACCAUAGUAUGGCCAGCAACCUUAUGGCACAGCAGCUCCCCUUGGCACUGGCUAUGACUACUAUAACCAACAGCAGCAAUCCCAACAACAACAGUCUGCCACUGGAACUGCUGUGCCUGCUGGUGCUAGCAGGUACAAUUACAGCCAGCCUGCUACUCAUGCUUCACAAGGGUAUGGUACUGCACCGAGCUACGGUGGUCCAGGUGGAGCUGGUCAAGCAUCUUCAGGGCAGCAAGCUUCAACUCCAGCCACUGGAGGCCAACUGGGUUAUCCUAAUCAAGCACCUAUACUAGUGCUGCUGCAUCAAGCUAAACGGCGCAAGGUUUUGCCCCUCAAUAUGGAUACAUUGCUCCACAGACACAGCCUGUCUAUGAUAUGCAGCCACCACCACUGGGCACGUAUGGCCAGGGUGCUUAUGGGUAGCCUCUGCAUGCUCAGAAGCCGCCUUCAUCUGCUCCGUAUGGACAGGCACACUCAGGCUGGUUAUGGGCAGUAUGGAUACAGUCAGCCAGGCUAUGGCCAGUAGCAGUCAUACUGUGAUUGUUAUGCUACUGGUAGCUAUGGGCAGCCUACAGCGUAUUCUACUGAAGUUACAACACCUGCUGCGUCCCAGGAUCAAUCCACCGCCGGACCUGCGUCUACCACAACAACUGCCAUUCCUNNNNNNNNNNNNNNNNNNNNNNNNNNNNNNNNNNNNNNNNNNNNNNNCCUGCUCCUGCUAAUAGUGCCCCCCCCCACACACACAAAAAAAAAAACUCUCCGAAUUAAGCUACCUGCUCCUGCU
rnacentral:lncRNA from 1 species